UACGGAGGGAGCUAGCGUUGUUCGGAAUUACUGGGCGUAAAGCGCACGUAGGCGGAUCGUUAAGUCAGGGGUGAAAUCCUGGGGCUCAACCCCAGAACUGCCUUUGAUACUGGCGAUCUCGAGUCCGGAAGAGGUGAGUGGAACUCCUAGUGUAGAGGUGGAAUUCGUAGAUAUUAGGAAGAACACCAGUGGCGAAGGCGGCUCACUGGUCCGGUACUGACGCUGAGGUGCGAAAGCGUGGGGAGCAAACAGG
rnacentral:rRNA from 1 species